AUCCGAGGCCCCGUAAUCGGAAUGAGUACACUCUAAACCCUUUAACGAGGAUCAAUUGGAGGGCAAGUCUGGUGCCAGCAGCCGCGGUAAUUCCAGCUCCAAUAGCGUAUAUUAAAGUUGUUGCGGUUAAAAAGCUCGUAGUCGAAUCUGUGUCCCGCGCCGCCGGUUCAUCGCUCGCGGUGUUUAACUGGCGUGCCGCGAGACGUCCUGCCGGUGGGCUUAGCUCGUUCGCGGGCGGCCCAACUUCAAAUCCCACCGCGGUGCUCUUGACUGAGUGUCGAGGUGGGCCGGCACGUUUACUUUGAACAAAUUAGAGUGCUUAAAGCAGGCUAAAACUUCGCCUGAAUACUGUGUGCAUGGAAUAAUGGAAUAGGACCUCGGUUCUAUUUUGUUGGUUUUCGGAACCCCGAGGUAAUGAUUAAUAGGAACGGAUGGGGGCAUUCGUAUUGCGACGUUAGAGGUGAAAUUCUUGGAUCGUCGCAAGACGGACAGAAGCGAAAGCAUUUGCCAAAAACGCUUUCAUUGAUCAAGAACGAAAGUUAGAGGUUCGAAGGCGAUCAGAUACCGCCCUAGUUCUAACCAUAAACGAUGCCAGCUAGCGAUCCGCCGACGUUCCUCCGAUGACUCGGCGGGCAGCUUCCGGGAAACCAAAGCUUUUGGGUUCCGGGGGAAGUAUGGUUGCAAAGCUGAAACUUAAAGGAAUUGACGGAAGGGCACCACCAGGAGUGGAGCCUGCGGCUUAAUUUGACUCAACACGGGAAACCUCACCAGGCCCGGACACCGGAAGGAUUGACAGAUUGAGAGCUCUUUCUUGAUUCGGUGGGUGGUGGUGCAUGGCCGUUCUUAGUUGGUGGAGCGAUUUGUCUGGUUAAUUCCGAUAACGAACGAGACUCUAGCCUGCUAACUAGGCGUAUUUUCGACAUCUCAAAGGCCCGCCGGCCCGGCGUAUUCGCGUCGCGGUUGGGCGCGGUUUUUACUGUCGGCGUACAAUCAAUUCUUCUUAGAGGGACAGGCGGCUUCUAGCCGCACGAGAUUGAGCAAUAACAGGUCUGUGAUGCCCUUAGAUGUUCUGGGCCGCACGCGCGCUACACUGAAGGAAUCAGCGUGUCCUCCCUGGCCGAGAGGCCCGGGUAACCCGCUGAACCUCCUUCGUGCUAGGGAUUGGGGCUUGCAAUUGUUCCCCAUGAACGAGGAAUUCCCAGUAAGCGCGAGUCAUAAGCUCGCGUUGAUUACGUCCCUGCCCUUUGUACACACCGCCCGUCGCUACUACCGAUUGAAUGAUUUAGUGAGGUCUUCGGACCGGUACGCGGCGGCGCUCCGCGUCGCCGAU
rnacentral:rRNA from 1 species